rnacentral:rRNA from 1 species
GGGGAAUAUUGGGCAAUGGGCGAAAGCCUGACCCAGCAACGCCGCGUGAAGGAAGAAGGUCUUCGGAUUGUAAACUUCUUUGAUCAGGGACGAAGAAAUGACGGUACCUGAAGAACAAGCCACGGCUAACUACGUGCCAGCAGCCGCGGUAAUACGUAGGUGGCAAGCGUUAUCCGGAUUUACUGGGUGUAAAGGGCGUGUAGGCGGCUCCGCAAGUCAGAUGUGAAAUUCCCAGGCUUAACCUGGGCGCUGCAUCUGAAACUGCGGAACUUGAGUACUGGAGAGGAUAGUGGAAUUCCUAGUGUAGCGGUAAAAUGCGUAGAUAUUAGGAGGAACACCGGUGGCGAAGGCGACUAUCUGGACAGUAACUGACGCUGAGGCGCGAAAGCGUGGGGAGCAAAC